rnacentral:rRNA from 1 species
AAUCUGCUGAAAGAUAUUUUUGCGUAAGAUUAGGUAGUUGGUAAAUUAAAAGUUUACCAAGCCUUUGAUCUUUAGUUGGUUUGAGAGGAUGGCCAACCACACUGGAACUGAGACAAGGUCCAGGCUAAUUUUUUAGCCAGCAGUGAGGAAUAUUGGACAAUGAACGAAAGUUUGAUCCAGCAAUACUACAUGAAUGAU